AGGUUCAAAGGUUUGAGUCUCCAAGAUGUUCAGAAUCCUGUUGGGUUUUUUGGAGCACAUGUCUCAGAGAAGAAAUACAAGGUCACAUGCUGCAAAAGUUCUCUCUGUACUGAGCAUUUUUGUCAUAGCAAACAUUUUGCAGUUAUCACCUGACAGGAGGAAUCAUCUCCCGCUCAUCAAGAAGGCUUAUCAAAACUAAAUGGACCAUUGUGGGACAUCACAAUACAAAGAGCUCAUCCCGUCAGUUUGAAUUCUGAAAGAAAGAAAUAAAAAUAGUUGACAUGAAAA